rnacentral:rRNA from 1 species
CAGCAGCCACGGUAAUACGAAGGGGGCUAGCGUUGCUCGGAAUUACUGGGCGUAAAGGGAGCGUAGGCGGACAUUUAAGUCAGGGGUGAAAUCCCAGAGCUCAACUCUGGAACUGCCUUUGAUACUGGGUGUCUUGAGUGUGAUAGAGGUAUGUGGAACUCCGAGUGUAGAGGUGAAAUUCGUAGAUAUUCGGAAGAACACCAGUGGCGAAGGCGACAUACUGGAUCAUUACUGACGCUGAGGCUCGAAAGCGUGGGGAGCAAACAGGAUUAGAUACCCCUGUAGUCCCUGUCUCUUAUAC